AAUCAUUCUGUUAGUCUAAAAGGAUGUAACCAUUGUCCUAAAGAAUGUUUAGAUGGCCAGUCCUAGUGUCUGAGUGAUU
rnacentral:snoRNA from 1 species